rnacentral:antisense_RNA from 1 species
UUUUUUUGAUACGGAGUCUCACUCUGUCACCCAGGCUGGAGUGCAAUGGUGAGACGUGGUCUUGUAACACAGUGGUUAAGAAUGUGACUUUGGAGCCAGCCUGCUAGGGGCUGAAUUCUGACUCAGCCAUUUACUAACUGUGUGACCUU